rnacentral:rRNA from 1 species
AUUGAACGCUGGCGGCAGGCCUAACACAUGCAAGUCGAACGCGCGUCGGACGCGUGUGUAUUAUGUGGGGAACUGCCCGAUAUAGGGGGGUAACUCCUGUAAACAGUGGCUCAUACCGCCUCCUCUCGGAUGUUCCCCUAUGGGAUUAGCUAGUAGGUGGGGUAACGGCUCACCUAGGCGACGAUCCCUAGCUGGUCUGAGAGGAUGACCAGCCACACUGGAACUGAGACACGGUCCAGACUCCUACGGGAGGCAGCAGUGGGGAAUAUUGCACAAUGGGCGCAAGCCUGAUGCAGCCAUGCCGCGUGUAUGAAGAAGGCCUUAGGGUUGUAAAGUACUUUCAGCGGGGAGGCGUUACCCGCAGAAGAAGCACCGGCUAACUCCGUGCCAGCAGCCGCGGUAAUAC